AUUGAACGCUGGCGGCAGGCCUAACACAUGCAAGUCGAACGGUAGCACAGAGAGCUUGCUCUCGGGUGACGAGUGGCGGACGGGUGAGUAAUGUCUGGGAAACUGCCCGAUGGAGGGGGAUAACUACUGGAAACGGUAGCUAAUACCGCAUAACGUCGCAAGACCAAAGUGGGGGACCUUCGGGCCUCACACCAUCGGAUGUGCCAAGAUGGGAUUAGCUAGUAGGUGGGGUAAUGGCUCACCUAGGCGACGAUCCCUAGCUGGUCUGAGAGGAUGACCAGCCACACUGGAACUGAGACACGGUCCAGACUCCUACGGGAGGCAGCAGUGGGGAAUAUUGCACAAUGGGCGCAAGCCUGAUGCAGCCAUGCCGCGUGUAUGAAGAGGGCCUUCGGGUUGUAAAGUACUUUCAGCGGGGAGGAAGGCGGUGGAGUUAAUAACUUCACCGAUUGACGUUACCCGCAGAAGAAGCACCGGCUAACUCCGUGCCAGCCGCCGCGGUAA
rnacentral:rRNA from 1 species